AAUAGAUACCCGGGGUAGUCCACGCCGUAAACGAUGAGUGCUAAGUGUUAGAGGGUUUCCGCCCUUUAGUGCUGCAGCUAACGCAUUAAGCACUCCGCCUGGGGAGUACGGUCGCAAGACUGAAACUCAAAGGAAUUGACGGGGGCCCGCACAAGCGGUGGAGCAUGUGGUUUAAUUCGAAGCAACGCGAAGAACCUUACCAGGUCUUGACAUCCCACUGACCGGUAUAGAGAUAUACCUUUCCCUUCGGGGACAGUGGUGACAGGUGGUGCAUGGUUGUCGUCAGCUCGUGUCGUGAGAUGUUGGGUUAAGUCCCGCAACGAGCGCAACCCUUGAUCUUAGUUGCCAGCAUUUAGUUGGGCACUCUAAGGUGACUGCCGGUGACAAACCGGAGGAAGGUGGGGAUGACGUCAAAUCAUCAUGCCCCUUAUGACCUGGGCUACACACGUGCUACAAUGGAUGGUACAAAGGGCUGCAAGACUGCGAAGUCAAGCCAAUCCCAUAAAACCAUUCUCAGUUCGGAUUGCAGG
rnacentral:rRNA from 1 species